rnacentral:lncRNA from 1 species
GAGGCCUUGGCUAAGACACUUUUUUCCAUCUGACUUUGCUUUUCUAGUACUAUCCCUUCCCCUCUCCAUCCUCUGGCUCCUCAGGUCCACAAGGAGACUCUGCAGGCAUCUUUGUUCUGUGCUCCUUAGCAGUGAGACUAUUCCUCCAGUCCCAGCUCCCAUUACCAUUCUCCAGGCAGAUGUAAAACACUGGGGAGCUGGUGCCUUUCUUUUAGGCCUCUUGUUUGUAUUGUCACAAUAAAUAAAUAAAGACUUGAUUACAACUUUCAGUUUAGCCCAUUGUCCUAACUGACUACUGCCACAAUUGGCAAGCUCAACAGAUGAAGCUUUCGUUAGCUCCUCAAAGGGGGCUGUUGCUGCCAAAAUGACAAGUAUCUUGCUUUGUGAAUCUCAGACUGUCUAGAAGCUCAGCUUUAUGACUAAGAAUAAGAAUGGGUUGGGAGCUCCUGUCGUGUCUCAGCAGAAACAAAUCUGAUCGUAUCCAUGAGGAUACAGGUUCGAUGCUUGGGUUAAGGAUCUGGCAUUGUCGUGAGCUGUGGUGCAGGUUCCGGAAACUGCUGGGAUCCUGUGCUUCUGCGAUGUAGGCUAGCAGCUAUAGCUCCUAUUUGACCCCUAACCUGAGAAUCUCCAUAUGCUGUGGGUGCAGCCCUAAAAAAAAAAAAAAGAGAGAGAGAAAGAAUGGGUUUGAUGAAGUCUCUCUCAACCAUAAUGCAAUAUGUUUUUCAAAUGCUUGGUGAAAGAGUUAAGGAAGCCACUGACACACUGAAGCAGGUCAAGAAGCAUAAAUAAUAAAGACUUUAUUUCAUAUGGUAGUAAAUAUGUACAAAGCUUAGCACUCUAUAUUUUUUAAUCUCAUUUAAGCAAUAAGACAGACCUAAGAGGUAAGUGCUAUUGUUAUCUUCAUUUUAUAAAAAAAUAAAGACUAAGAAAGUCUAACAUGGUAAAAUGGAUUUUAUAAGCUAUAAAUGCUAUAAAUGCAAUUUUGUCAACAUUGGAGUUCCUGCAACAGUACAGUGGGUUAAGAAUCUGACUACAUUGGGUUGCAUCUCUGUGGAGGUGAAGGUUCAAUCCCUGAUCCAGCUUAGAGGGUUAAAAGAUCUCGCAUUGCUGGAGCUGUGGUGUAGGUCACAGCUGUGGCUCAGAUUCAGUUCUUGGAGGGGGUCUUCCAUAUGCCACAGAUGCAGCCAUAAUCACUGUGUAGUUUAAGAAAUAACUUUUCCAUAAUUUUUUAAUGCCAUGAUCUUGUCAAAUUGGAUGCUAUUAGUGUUUAAGGCUGGCCAAAGCUUGUAUUAAAAAAAAAGCAUUUGGCUAUGAUUGGUGACUGAUAAAUGUUAAAUAAUUGAUGGUUCUAAAUAUGGUUCAUUAUUAUUUAUUAUUGCUAUGGUUCACUAUUAUUGUUAUAGAGUAAUACAAAAUAAUAAUUUUGUUAAUUUUAUAAUGCUGUUAACACGACAAUGGAAUUUUAGAUUCAAAGUUUUACUCCAGUAAUUCUGGAUAUAAUCAGUAACUACAACCCUUCUGAAUUAUUCUGAUAUUCUUGGAAUAAAGAAAGGCCCAUGUUGAGAGCCAAAAUUGCAAGCAUGUAUUUCCUUUGUUGGUAGAUUAACAAUAUCAAUAAAUUGUUUAAAACGUUAGUAAAGAAAGAAUGAAAAAAAUAAAUUUUAACAAUCUUAUGAACUGGUGUGAUAUUUGACUCUAAAGUCUGCUUUCUUACCCAUGCUGUUACCUUCUACAGAGGAAAUAAAACUUUCUUUAUUCUUAGACUCUUAGGAAAUUUUCCAUAAGAUCUAAUUCAUCCAGAAUACACCAUUUGUCUUAUAAUUUCCAUUUGUAGACAGAGCUUAAUAAAAAUUUACAUAGAUCCAAGUAUUCCUUACAGCUUUUUUGCCUUAUCACCCACUCAACUACCUUCAGUCCCCAAGCUUUUACCUACUAUUCUGCUCCACUUUAUUAUCAGGUUCAGCAUCCCUAUACAUUUUUUUGUCAAGUCUAUCAGAUUCUCUAGGGAAGUGGGUCAUUUUCUUGCUCAUUAAAUCUGUCAUUUUGUUUUUCUAAUAUCAAAUAAUAUUGUAUACCCCACAAGAUACCGAUUAUUUUCACAAUCACAGAUUUCCAUAUUUCCAUUUCUAUAUCCUGCUAUAACUACAUGAUAAUCUUGAAAAUCACCAAUAAAUUGGUGUACACCAUGAAUCAUUUUUUGAAAGUGGCACCUUUUCUUGCUAUAGUCCAUUGUAUUUCCUCUUCCCAAUAAUUGUAAAAAUAUGUGACUGCAAAUAUAAAUCACCAGUAACCAUGGAAAGAAGAGGUAUCUUGGCUUAACAUAUAAAACUGAGCUUUGGAAUUAGACAAACAGUGGUGCCCUGAAAAGCUGCCCUGAAAAGCUGCAUGAUUUUGGAGAGAUGUUUACUUCUCGGUGUCUCAGUCAAUGUCUCUUCACUGUGAAAGGAGGAUUACUCUCACUUUGCAGUCAUUUUGGAAAAAAAAAAAAAAUCUAGUUAAUGUAUCAAAAAUACUUGACUCACUGCUUGGCAACUAAUAAUACAAAGGUCAAAGCAUUUCUGACAGCUAGGCUUAUGUUAAGAGCUUUACACGUUUUUUAUCUGAUUUGAUUUAAUCCUCAUAAGAACAUUAUGAUGUACAGACUUGUUGCAAGAAGAGGUACUUUUCCCAUUUCUUCAUUUUCAUUCUCCAUUUCAGAUGUUUUUGUUGAUAUUUGUGCUAUGGACUAAAUUGUGUCCUUGACAAAAUUCACCUUUUGAAACCCUAACUUAUAACUAUAUUUAGAGAUGGGCCUUUGGGAGGUAAUUAAAACUAAAUGGGUCAUGACUGUAGAACCCUCAUGAUGGCAUUUGUUGCUUUAUAAGAAGAGGAACAUUGCUCUCUUUCUCUCUCUCUGCCACUGAAGAUACAAAGAGAAGUUGGCUAUUUGCAAACCAGAAAGAGAGCCUUUAUCAGUCCAAUCUCUUGACACCUUUAUCUUGGACUUCCAGAUAUUAAUCUUAGUCUCCAGAACUAUAAGAAAUAAGUGUUUGUUGUUUACCCAGUCUGUGGUAUUUUGUUGUAAUAGCCCAAGUAGAUUAACACAAGCUGAGAUGCAAUAUAUCUUAUAUCAUUAUUAUUUAAAAUAAUAAUCAUCUGAUUACUUGUUUAUUCCAGCUAUUGAAAUCCAUUUAUCAAAUUUUCUAUAUAUUUUUUCAAUAUCUCCAUUAAAUAAACACUUCGUUUUUCUCUCCUGCAUUGUUCUUUUCCAAUAAUGCCAUCUAAAAACAAUCUUAUUCCUUCUUUUUUUCUCAAAAGAGAUAUUGCAUUCUAGAGGACAGGAAUUGUCUCUUUUCAACUCUUGAUCUUUUAUAACCUAUAACAGAAACUCACUAAAUAUCUAACUGAACUAAUGCAAUAAAUUGGUGGAAGGAGAUUAAGUUUUAUUCUGUAAAAUAUGCACUAUUUGAUUAUGUUGAUAAGGAGAGACAUGUAUUAUUUAUUUUAUUGAAAAAUCUCAUAAAUACUUUAUGUAGUUUGAGAUCAUUCAUAGAUAUGUAUAUAUAUACACACAUAGAGAGAGAGCUGUAUAUAUACAUAUUCAUAUAGAUUUAUAUUAUAUAUGCAGAAAUAAAAUAUAAGCACAUUAAAAUAUCAAAGAUAACAUCCUGAAUAUAAGUUUAAGGAUGACUUUUUCUCCUAAAUAUUAUGUACAUAUUUUUUUUCAAAUCUACUACUUUUAAUUCUAAUAAAAAUGUUAAAAUUCAGGGUUUUUUUUGAAAGAUUUUAAUAGACACUAUUAUAAGAAAUCUACCAAAAAUAGUUGUAGAAUUUCAGUGCCAUGGAGUGAAAAAAUCCAGAUUACACAUCAGGUCAAAUGCCAGAUUCAGUGACGCUUUCCAAUUUGAGCUUGUCUUAAUCAUAUUUUGGAAAGUAUGGUAGAAAUACAAAAUGGAUGAAGCUCAUUGAGGAGGCUUAAAAUGCUUUCCGUGUUUAUCCCCCAAACAAAUUGUAAUUGAUCUGUCAUAAUGUUCUACUUUUUGGAACAUAAAGGAGAAAUAAAUAAUGUUUAUAUGUAGGCCACACUGUAGUUUAGAAGAGCCUAAGAACACUUUUUUUUUUUUUGAGAAUUACUUGACAUCUACAAGCCUGGUACUCAUGUACAUGGUGCACAGGUGUUAGUUCAGCUUUUGCCAGGCCUCAUGACUCUGACCCAAGCCUACUUAGUUGUCUCCUUUUCUUCAGGAUUCCUUAUCUCCAGCCUCCCCAGUUCACUUCAUCUUGAAAUAUGUCCCAUGUUCUCCCCUCUCUUUCAGCCCAGAUGAUGCAUGCUUAUUUUCCAAGGAGUCUGGAGCAGUUUUAUAAAUUCUCUUCUCUAUUGCAUUCUUGUCAUAGCCCUGAUUCACGUAGACAUUGCUUAACUGUCCUGAAGAGUCAAUGCUAGAAGUAAAAUACAAACAAAUUAAAACGGAAUAUUGCCCUUGUUGUUCUUUUUAGGAUCCCCAUCAAAACAUUAAUCUUCCUCAAGGAAUAAUGAAUAACUAUAAAUAAUUGGAGAACAGCCAACUAGAUGAAUAAUGUGAAAGAAAAGUUCAAUGACUAAUAUUACAAAUUUCACUUGCUGUACAGUCUCCUACUUAUCUAUCAUCAUGCCUGUACUGUGAACUCUUUCAGGUCAGAAACUAUAUCUUAUUCUUGUAGCACAAUGCCAGGCUAGCUCAGAGAAGACACAGAAAUGCCCACAUUCAAUGAAUAAAGUUAAUACACAUUUCUCUAAUUAUAUGCUUAACUACAUAUUCGUUCUUUUAUUUUUUUUUUAUUUUUUAUUUUUUGGCUUUUUAGGGUCGCACCCAUGAAACGUGGAAGUUCCCAGGCUAGGGGUCCAAUCAGAGCUACAGCUGCUGGCCUGUACCACAGCCACAGCAACAAAGGAUCCAAGUUGUGUCUGGGACCUGCACCACAGCUCAUGGCAACGCUGGACCCCCAACCCACUGAGCAAGGCCAGGGACUGAACCCGCAUCUUCAUGGAUUCUAGUCAGAUUCCUUUCCACUGCACCACGAAGGGAACUCUGUCUUUAAUUUUAACUUUAAAACAUUUUUUAAACCUUUUAGAAAUAAAACAGCUGAAAAGUAUAUGUAAUAGCUUACUUUGUAGCCUUAUGAUUCGACAAGGGACAUCUUCAUCAAAUUCUAUAAUAAAUGAAUCUCAGUAGAAAAGCCAUU